GACGGGGACCCGCACAAGCAGCGGAGCGUGUGGUUUAAUUCGUUGCUACGCGAAGAACCUUACCUGGGUUUGACAUCCUUUGACCGCCCUGGAAACAGGGUUUAUCCGAUUCGUCGGAACAGAGUGACAGGUGCUGCAUGGCUGUCGUCAGCUCGUGUCGUGAGAUGUUGGGUUAAGUCCCGCAACGAGCGCAACCCUUGUCUCUAGUUGCCAGUAUUAAGUUAGGGACUCUAGAGAGACUGCCUCGGUUAACGGGGAGGAAGGUGGGGAUGACGUCAAGUCCUCAUGGCCUUUAUACCCAGGGCUACACACGUGCUACAAUGGGCUGCACAAAGGGUCGCUAGCUCGCGAGAGUACGCUAAUCCCAAAAAGCAGUUCUCAGUUCGGAUUGGAGUCUGCAACUCGACUCCAUGAAGUUGGAAUCGCUAGUAAUCGUGGAUCAGCACGCCACGGUGAAUACGUUCCCGGGCCUU
rnacentral:rRNA from 1 species